CCGACCUUAGCUCAGUUGGUAGAGCGGAGGACUGUAGUAGACGUAGAUUAUCCUUAGGUCACUGGUUCGAAUCCGGUAGGUCGGA
rfam:Arabidopsis thaliana chromosome 1, complete sequence.